rnacentral:lncRNA from 1 species
AAAAUAUAUGAUUUGAUAAACAUCAUCUUACAUCAGAUUGUCUAAAUUAAAUAACAAAUAAAAUUCAUACCAUUAAUCUUUAUAAAAUCAUUCAUAUCCCAUACAUCAUUCUCAUGUAAAAUAUUUGUAAAUGCCUUUGUUAAAACUAAUACUAUUUAUGCACAUGUUUUCCUAUUUUUUAUAGAUUGCACAAACUUAAUUAAGCAUUUAAAAUAAACAUAUGGAAGCCAAUUGGUGUUAUUAUUAGAAGAAACAAAUUGCAACCGAUGGCUUCCCAUACAAUUUUGGUGAUUGUCUUCGACAAAAGACACAUCUAUUAGAUGUUUAAACGGGAAUUGACAACUCUGUUACUCUGAAAACCAAGGCAUGUACGACAUAUAUGGAUCUAAAGGGGGAGGUGGCCCAAUCAGGAUGGAAGUCUUCGAUGUGUUCUUUGAAAUAUUUUACAUUAUGACCAGUACAAACAUCUAACAUGGUAAUUGAACUACUGCAUACUUGUCAUAGAAUGAAAUUCAAAACAGUGUGGCUGUGGCCAUUGAUUGACACAUUAAAUUCAUCCAUUGACUGGGACAAUUUAGGUGAACGUUUGUAUGUAACGACCAUUGCUCACUGUGUACUUUUAAAGACACUUAAACUAUGGGGUCACCAAAGGUUGUCAACACCUUAAUAAAGUAAUUCGAAAAAAUUAAUCAGAAAUAACACAAUGUUUUGAUUUAUAUCAAUU